rnacentral:rRNA from 1 species
UACGUAGGGUGCAAGCGUUAAUCGGAAUUACUGGGCGUAAAGCGUGACGCAGGCGGUGAUGCAAGACAGAGGUGAAAUCCCCGGGCUCCAACCUGGGAACUGGCAUCUGUGACUGCAUAGCUAGAGUACGGUAGAGGGGGAUGGAAUUCCGCGUGUAGCAGUGAAAAUGCGUAGAUAUGCGGAGGAACACCGAUGGCGAAGGCAAUCCCCUGGACCUGUACUGACGCUCAUGCACGAAAGGCGUGGGGAGCAAACGAGG